rnacentral:rRNA from 1 species
GAUGAACGCUGGCGGCGUGCCUAAUACAUGCAAGUCGAGCGAACAGACGAGGAGCUUGCUCCUCUGACGUUAGCGGCGGGCGGGUGAGUAACACGUGGAUAACCUACUUAUAAGACUGGGAUAACUUCGGGAAACCGGAGCUAAUACCGGAUAACAUGUUGAACCGCAUGGUUCAACAGUGAAAGACGGUCUUGCUGUCGCUUAUAGAUGGAUCCGCGCCGCAUUAGCUAGUUGGUAAGGUAACGGCUUACCAAGGCAACGAUGCGUAGCCGACCUGAGAGGGUGAUCGGCCACACUGGAACUGAGACACGGUCCAGACUCCUACGGGAGGCAGCAGUAGGUAAUCUUCCGCAAUGGGCGAAAGCCUGACGGAGCAACGCCGCGUGAGUGAAGAAGGUCUUCGGAUCGUAAAACUCUGUUAUUAGGGAAGAACAAAUGUGUAAGUAACUAUGCACGUCUUGACGGUACCUAAUCAGAAAGCCACGGCUAACUACGUG